rnacentral:rRNA from 1 species
AUUGAACGCUGGCGGCAGGCUUAACACAUGCAAGUCGAGCGAGCGGUGGACGGGUGAGUAAUGUCUGGGAAACUGACUGAUGGAGGGGGAUAACUAGGGGAAAAGGUAGAUAAUAACGCAUAGAAUCAGAUGGGGCAAGAUGGGAUUAGCUAGUAGGUGGGGUAAUGGCUCACCUAGGCGACGAUCCCUAGCUGGUCUGAGAGGAUGACCAGCCACACUGGAACUGAGACACGGUCCAGACUCCUACGUGAGGCAGCAGUGGGGAAUAUUGCACAAUGGGCGCAAGCCUGAUGCAGCCAUGCCGCGUGUGUGAAGAAGGCCUUCGGGUUGUAAAGCACUUUCAGCGAGGAGGCGUUACUCGCAGAAGAAGCACCGGCUAACUCCGUGCCAGCAGCCGCGGUAAUUC